rnacentral:rRNA from 1 species
UUCCGGUUGAUCCUGCCGGAGGCUACUGCUAUUGGGAUUCGACUAAGCCAUGCGAGUCAAGGUGUCUUCGGAUGCCGGCGUACGGCUCAGUAACACGUAGGUAACCUACCCUCAGGACUGAGAUAACCCCGGGAAACUGGGGCUAAUAUUAGAUAGAUAAAAGGUACUGGAAUGUUCUUUUAUCCAAAGCUUUUGCGCCUGAGGAUGGGCCUGCGUCCGAUUAGGUUGUUGGUGGGGUAAUGGCCCACCAAGCCUGCGAUCGGUACGGGCAGUGAGAGCUGAAGCCCGGAGUUGGGGACUGAGACAAGGCCCCAGGCCCUACGGGGCGCAGCAGGCGCGAAACCUCUGCAAUGCGGGAAACCGUGACAGGGGGAUCCCAAGUGCUCAUGCAUUGCAUGGGCUGUUCUUUGGUCUAAGUAACCAGAGGAGUAAGGGCUGGGCAAGACCGGUGCCAGCCGCCGCGGUAAUACCGGCAGCUCAAGUGGUAGCCGCGAUUAUUGGGCCUAAAGCGUUCGUAGCCGGAUAAGUAAGUCUUUGGUUAAAUCCUGCAACUCAACUGUGGGAAAUCUAGGGAUACUGCUUGUCUUGAGACCGGGAGAGGUUAGAGGUACUCCUAGGGUAGGGGUGAAAUCCUGUAAUCCUAGGGGGACCACCUGUGGCGAAGGCGUCUAACUGGAACGGGUCUGACGGUGAGGGACGAAACCUAGGGGAGCGAGCCGGAUUAGAUACCCGGGUAGUCCUAGGCGUANAUGAUGCGAGUUAAGUGUGGGGGCAUCUACGAGAUGGCCCUGUGCUGUAGGGUAGCCGUUAAACUCGCCGCCUGGGGAGUACGGUCGCAAGGCUGAAACUUAAAGGAAUUGGCGGGGGAGCACCACAAGAGGUGGAGGCUGCGGUUCAAUUGGAGUCAACGCCGGG